rnacentral:rRNA from 1 species
CCUACGCGCGGCAGCAGUAGGGAAUCUUCCACAAUGGGCGAAAGCCUGAUGGAGCAACGCCGCGUGGGUGAAGAAGGUCUUCGGAUCGUAAAACCCUGUUGUUAGAGAAGAAAGUGCGUGGGAGUAACUGUUCACGUUUCGACGGUAUCUAACCAGACAGCCACGGCUAACUAGGUGCCAGCAGCCGCGGUAAUACGUAGGUGGCAAGCGUUAUACGGAUUUAUUGGGCGGAAAGGGAAAGCAGGCGGUUUUUUAAGGCGUAUGGGAAAGCCCUCGGGCUAACCGGAGUAAUGCAUUGGAAACUGGGAAACUUGAGGUCAGAAGAGGAGAGUGGAACUCCAUGUGUAGCGGUGAAAUGCGUAGAUAUAUGGAAGAACACCAGGGGCGAAAGCGGCUCUCUGGUCUGUAACUGACGCUGAGGUUCGAAAGCGUGGGGAGCAAACAGGAUUAGAUACCCUAGUAGUC